ensembl:snoRNA
GGCCUCAUUGUAUAUGAAAAUAGGCAGGGUUGGUCAGUGUCCAGAAUUUUUCAGUGUGGCUAAAUUGAAACACAGGUCAUGCCUUUAUCACAGUCAAUGCAUUGCAGUGGGACAGUGAGACCUGUAACAUUG